AAGGGAAGACAUGUUUUUUCUGAAAGAAUUGAUUUUAUGCUAAAUUAUGGCAAAUAGUAAGGGUUCUCAGGUUAGUUAUCGCUUUAAAAUGGUUGUAUUCAUUGUUCGGUUGCUUAUAAUGGGUUUCACCUUAUUUGUAUUUAAAUAGGGCGUUGUAAUUUGGCACUUGUAAUUCAGUUGUCAUAUGUAUUCGCGAAUGAUCAAAAUAGCAGCAAAUGUCUCUGACUUCUUUAAUAAAGUAAUAAUGUUCACCUGUCUUGUGUUUUGUGCACCAUCUUAAUUUUUAGCUAACCUGUCACAACCGUCACUGGAGAGAGAAGAGAAUGACAAGAGAUAUUGUUGUGUUGUGUGUUGAGCUAGUGAGUAAAAGCCAUACAUUUCCAUAAAUUGGAUGGAAUUAUCAUUAUAUCACGAUCAACGUUUGAAGAUAAGGAAAACGUCUGGGAUUACGAAAUGCAACGAAGAGAGAACUGUAUGUGCAUAUGUGGUGUUAUGGACAGUUUAGAAAGUUUGGGUUUCUUGAUUAUAACAAGAACUCUGAAUAAACUAUAAUAUAAGUUGUGGUGUAAGAAUACUGGAAAGAUACUGGAAAGAUUUAUUAAUAUUAUUGGCGUAUAAUAAACUAAUAUUUAAAACCGAACCCACCUCUUCUUGACUUACUUCUAAAUUUAUUAUAUUACUGGGUAAGCCUAAAGGAUACAAAUGGCGCCCAACAUGGUUUAGUUAAAACUCCAAUAGAAGUGAAAAGACAAUAAUUUGUGAUAAAAGUGAAUAGACAUUCGUGAUGAUUGGUUAAUUUAGACGCUUUAUGAAUAAUUUAGACAUUGUCAGUGAAUAGUUCAAAGAAAAAUAGAAGUAUUCAAAGAACUGUGAAAAAUUUGAGAUAUUCUGAGAUGAAUCUUCGGAAAUGUUAUAUUACUGCGACGGUCACGGAGAAUAAACAUUUACAACUAUUAGUACUUUAGACUGUGUGUCGUGAUUAAGAGACAUAGUGCUAAAUUUGAAGUGUCCAGACAAUGUUGGAGAUAUUAUUCAACAAGUACUGUUAACAACAUAUUGAGUCAUUAACAGAUUCAAUGAAUAUUUCAUAAAUUCGCGAAACUUUGUUCAAAAUUACAUAAUAGAACAUCAAAAUAACUGUUUACGAGGGAGACAAUCCUUUGGUUCUAUACGAAACCUACAUAUAUGAGUCAAUCAACAGGCGAUCCGGUUAACUAUCACAUGGGAAAAUAGACACGUUCGUAGCCAGGAGCAGCAUCACCUUCAGGAACAGUUCAAGGAUUGUAGACGAUGAUUAGAAGACGUGACAUUUUACGUUUUAAUUUCUUAUAGCAGUGACACUGUGUGCCUUUUACAGUGACUAACCUGUCACAACCGUCACUGGAUAGAGAAGAGAAUGUCAAAAGAUUGUUGUGUUGUGUGUUGAGCUAGUGAGUGAAAGCCAUUCAUUUCCAUAAAUUGGAUGGAAUUAUCAUUCUAUCACGAUCAACGUUUGAAGAUAAGGAAAACGUCUGGGAUUACGAAAUACAACGAAGAGAGAACUGUAUGUGCAUAUGUGGUGUUAUGGACAGUUUAGAAAGUUUGGGUUUCUUGAUUAUAACAAGAACUCUGAAUGAACUAUAAUAUAAGUUGUGGUGUAAGAAUACUGGAAAGAUACUGGAAAGAUUUAUUAAAUUUAUUGGAGUAUAAUAAACUAAUAUUUAAAACCGAACCCACCUCUUCUUGACUUACUUCUAAAUAAAUUCUAUUACUGGGUAAGCCUAAAGGAUACAGGUGUGUCGACCAUUUGGUUAGAGCAUUGGACUAGCACCCGAACGACACGGGUUCGAUCCCCACUACAGAUGCUUUGGAUUUUUUGUGAUAACAGUAGAUUGUCAAUGUCCAGUAAAACAUUGCAAACCUGAUAACGGUUUUCUUAUAUAGGUCAAUCUACUUCAUGAUCAAUUAUAAUAUUUGCUACUUCCGAAAUCUCUUUAUUAGACCUUUCCGGCGUAAAUGGAAAUGUACAUGACUAAGUGCAUGCACACGUACUUCGAUCAAUUUCGAGGGGUUUUCUCAAAACAUUGGACACAUUUUGAAUUGCAAUAAUUUUAACGAAUAUUUCAGUUUUAAUGGGCACAUAAGUACUGCACGAGAAGCAAUAUGUAUGUGGAUAUCCUUGCUGGAAUAAAAGCGAUACUGUUUUUCAUACUGUAGGAUAUGGAACAAAACAAAUUACUUGUAGUUAUUACGAGAGAAGCGGGCGUAUCUGUUUUUUUUUUUUUUGUUUAAUAUCUAGACCACUCGCUCGCUUAGCUCAGUAGCGGGAGCACAGAUCUACGGCUCGCAGGGUCGUGAGUUCGAUUCCCUUGCGAGACGUAUGUUCUCAGUGACAAUUUCAUAAAAGCCAUUGUGUCUGAAAUCACUCGUCCUCCACCUCUGAUUCAUAUGGGUAAGUUGGCAGUUACUUGGGGAAAACAGGUUUGCACUUGUACUGAAUCAAGAAACACUGGUGAGGUUAAUUGUCCGCCGUUACUUAAGUGAAAUACUGUUGAAAUACGGCGUUAAACAAAUAACAAAUUAAUCCUCUAGGAUAUUAUUUUAAAUCAAUUGUAGCCAGAUUAUAUUAUUUUUGUUUGCUGGGAGGCAGUUGCAUAUCUUAUUUACUGUAAUAUUCACUGAGAGAGAAACGAGGAAAAUGUCUCAUGAUAUUUUAGAAUAUGUUUUCUUUAUAACUGAGGAAGAAAUGCUAAUAUAUAUCAAGUUCAGUAUUGAAACUGGAAUACAUUUUAUUUACUAUUCUGACAGCCUCGUCCUGAUUUUCUAAUGGUCAUCGCUUUAAUAGAUAUGGAUAAUUUGAUUGCUUCAAGUUUCCUAUGACAUAUGGUUGUGAUUCCAAAGUGUAAACAUUUCACACUGGGUAACAGAACUAUGGAGCACAAAUAAGAGGAGGCAAAUGUAUUCUGUCAUUGUGGAAAUACUCUAUUUCUUUAGAAUAUUUCAGUAUUCAGAAAGGCUAUAUGCCAGACCAUUUCUUAGGGAUGAGACUUGGUAUUAGUAAUAACCAAUGAAAUGUUAUUCGUUGUUGUCUUGAGAGACCCCAAGUUUUGUCCGAAGUACAUAAUACAAUUACGUAGUCGCAUACAUAUACAUUUACACCGAAAAAGUCUUAUUGUAUUGUCUGUUGCUCCCAUAUGAUGAGUAUGCGUCAAGUGUGUCCCUAUUUGCUCGUGUGUUAAGUGUCCCCAGUCUUGAGUCUGUGUAGGUUUGGCCUCUUUCAUGUAUGCGACUGGUAUAUAUGAUGUAAGGUACAAUGUUACUAAAUAGAUCUUCCAGGCUAUCGGAUAAUGGCGGAAAGAAAAAGUCAGCUAAAGUGGAAUUUUUCAUGUCUUAUGUAAGCCAGGUUUUGUUUUUGUUUCAUUGUGUACUCAUACUUUACAUUUUAGUAGCAUUUGUAGAAAUGUAAAUAAACCUUAUUAGACAUGUUUUCGCGGUCGAUUUUGAAGACAUAGCAUCGACAAAAUGUUAAUUUUAUAUAGAACAUAAAGCAAAGUUAUCUACUACCCUUUAGGCCUACCCUUAAAUAGCAUUACAUAGUUUAAGUGAUUGUUAACAAAUAUUAUAUAUAUGAGGACUCUCUGAAGUUAAAAGCACCGAAUCAAGACGCUUGUUUGGCGUAGCUGUCUAAGCUAAACUUUUUACCAACACUUAAAGAACCAACAAAAGUUGUAAAUUUAUAAUAAUUCAAACAAUAAAAAUAGCGGGACUUGAAAGAAAUGAACAUAUAGAUACGUUUAAUUGGCUGAAAUACUGUUUCGUUAAAUUUCAACAGAGUAUUACGUAUAGAUACAGUAGCGUAAUGCCUCUAAUGACGUUUAUCGCAGAAGCACAAAAGGCAACUGUAGACAAUAAGUAUUUAUACAUGUGAUAUUAGUGUUUUACCUGGGACUUUUUUUUCUCACGCCAAACAUUACUACAGAUGUAUAUUUUCUAUGUUGUCAGUCUUAGUCAAAAUA